AGCUCAACUAUUCCAUUUUUAUGCAGCAUUUCUCGGCGUCUGCAGGUGGAACUCCAGGUCGUAUUCACGGUGCUGAGAAACUUGAAGCACUUUCUCCUGAGAUGUGGGGCAGGAGAGAGCUGAGGAACUUUUCCUGCUGCGUUAAGAGCUGCCUCCUACGUUCCCAGCAGGAAAGAGAGCCCAGUUGGGGUAAGAAAACAGUUUUUUAGCUACUGCUGCAUGUCAAAUAGGGCUUCCUAUUGUUUUGUUUACCCUAUUGGCUAAUUCUAUGAUUUUAGUUCCAGGAGGAUUUUGCCAGGUGGCAAAUAUUCUAGGUGCCUGGGAAACAGCAACACCAUAGCAGAGAGAAACAGUGCAAGGCUCUGUUUCGACCAGGACAACCCUGACUUUUAUUCUCUACCAUUUUUUUUCCCUCUUUGAUAUCCUUAGUUUCAAAAACCCAGAAGAAUGCAUGAAAUGGGCUAUACCGGACAGGUUGAAGCUAAGAAAGCAGUUUCCUUAGCAACUGUAGCCAUAUGAAAGGCUGGCAAGUCGUCCUUGUCUCAUUUUUCAUUUCAUUUUCUGCAGUUCCUGAAAAGAGGUCAGAUGCUCUGUGUUAAGUUCACGUUGCAGUUUUGCUUGUGGUACCUUCUGUACCAGAGCUAGGCAGGCAGAUAACUGUCCAUGUUACUGAAUGCUUUUGUUUAUUUCAGUUAGAAAUGAGCACAUGUACACAGUCACAUUUUGCGGUUGGUUCUCAAAGAAUCAUAGAAGACUUCUUUGUGAAGAGUUCAAAAGCAAAAGUAUAAAAGCAAAGGCCACAUAUUUGCGGGUUGUUGGUCUUUAAUGAGAGCUUUUCUGAUUUCAAAGUCAUAUCAGAAUAUUUUUGGUAAUGGCAGACAGAACCACAUGAAAAAAUUCAAAUUAGUCCUCCACUAAUAUGAUGCCUCUUCUAAAAUUAUUUGCAAAAUCUAAAAUGGAAGUUUUUUGGUUAAUUUUAAGUUUCUAAAUUCAAUUCAACAAAAUUUGUUGCAGCUCUGAUUCACUAAGAACUGCAGGGCAUAAGCAGAUGUGGUAAGAUGGUCUGUGCCCUCGAGGAGUUUCAAAUUUAGUCCUGGGAAUAAGACAAAUACAGCGUAAUUACGACUACAAGGAAGAAAGUGAUAAAUGGCACGAAGCAGUGGUUAUCGACCUUGACUGCAGGUUGGAAUCACCUGGGGAGCUUUAAAAACACCAGUGCGAGGGUCCUUCUCCCAGAGGUUCUGAUUUCAUUGGUCUGGGGGACAGCCUGGGGAUUGAGAGUUUAGAAAGGCUUUUCAGGUGACUCCAAUGUGCAGUUGAGGUUAAGGACCCCUAGUGAAGAGUGUUCGAGAGAUGUCCAAGAGACAGUUGUGGUUGGUUGGGGUGAGAAAUUGUUUACUUUCAGGUAACAGAAAGGCCUUGAAAAGUGGGUGUGAGUUCAUCAGGCAGAGAAACUUGGAAGGGAAAGGACUUGUUUGCAGAGGAGAAAAAAUAUGACGAAAGCCACGAAGUGUGAAACAGGGUGGGUGGGUGCGUGUGUAUUUAGGGAACUGUAAGCAAACGCCCUCCAUGUGAGUGUGGAGUAGCCGUGUCCAGGAGAAGGUGAAGCUUCGAGGCAGAUUGGGAAAUCCUGAGGGGGGUAAGGUGAAAAGAUCCUGAGCUGGAAGCCAGACUUGCUUCAAAUUUGCUUUCUUGUUUUUAACUGCGCCUUGAGGUCUUUGGGGGUUUGAGCCCAGUCGUGAUUGGGGGAAGUCAAACAGAAGGGAAGACAAGAAAAAGAGCUUAUUUAUGGGAGAAGAGGAUGAGUUCAAUAGUCGACAAAAUCACUGCAGUUAGGAGGAAUCUUGGAGAUACUUUGGUUAAACGCCUUUGUUUUCCAGUGGAGGAAGCCCUAGAGGAAACUGACCUAGGACAAUUACAUGACUAGUUAAUGGGCUGUUGUGAUUCAGGUGGAGAUGUCCAGCAGGCAAUUGACAAACAGGUGUGAAGCUGAAGAGAGAGGUCAGGGAUGAAGAUAUAAUUCUGUGACUCACUUUCAAUGAGGCAAUAAGGACUUGGGGGUGAGAGGAAUCUGGAAAGAAGAGAGAAAGUGAUAUUUAGAAGGCAAGAGAAUUUGAAACCCACAAAAGAAGCAUAGAAUUAGCAUCAGAGAAAUAAGAAGAGAAUCGGAAUAAUUCAGUGGUGCGGAUGCCAAGAAAGAGAGUGUCAAAUAAAGAUCCUUCACAGAGGAAGGAUCAACAUGCAAAAGGCUGGGGAGAGACUGCAAGCAUGUGGGCUUGCCAGAGGCCCUGGGAUUAGAGCUUGAAUACAACUUGUGACACCAUUGUGCACUGGUGGGUGGGAGGUAGAUGUUAGGAGCGGUGCAUGAAGGCCGCUGAGGAAGAUGCUAUGAGCUUUCUUCAUGUGCUGGGUGGCCCUUCCCCAGUUCUUGUAUUU
ensembl:lncRNA